CUCCUCUUCUCACUUGAGUAUGAGUAUCUGUUACAAAGUCUGCACUCCCUGCCCGUGUGGAACGCCCAGCCCUAUAACAGUGUUCUCUACCUGUGCCCUUGAAGAGCUGUGUCUAGGACAUCUUUGUGCUGCUUAUUGAAUUAAACCACCACAUCAAAAUAUGUGUAAUGAUCAGACUUAAUGGACAUAUUCGGUAAAGAACAAGCUGAGCGAUAUUGCCUUUUUCUUCUUCAGCUACUAUCAAAACAGUGCAACAACCUCAGUCACAAACUCAAGAGUCUUUUGACAGCAGC